GAAAACCAGAAAAGUCAAAUAGAGGUAUGUCACUGUUGUCUUAAGUGUUCUGGCUUAUAUAGCUUUUUAACAACAACCCCUAACGCCCCCAACCGAUCCUGAUUUGAUAGGCAGAGAGAAUCAGCGCAUCACUGGGGUUAUCAUAAGGACACCUUUCUUCACCCUCCUUUGUACUAACUCUCAGCACUCACACAUAAUCUCUACACCUGAUGUAUAACACUGAUGACCUUCAUACUGUAUGUGCCAUAAAAGCUAUUAGUAGGAAAAUAGUCAUUCUUAGUGUCUUGCUUCUAACUGGUUGGCGUCUGAAAAGGCCGUUGACCAACAUUGAAAGUUUCUAGUGCGGCUAAAUCAGGUAGCUGACGUUUUCCUUUGUGGUUCUUUAGAAAUCAAGAGGGAUAUAAACUCAUCUAACCCGGAGGAAGCCGUACAGACAGAUGGACAUCCAGUUGGUCAGGAGUUUCUCCACAGUGGACUCGGUGCGUCGUAAAAGCAGUUUGGGCUGGGCGUUACCGUGCUGCUGCAUCAGAUCCCUCAGCAGUACCUCCAUCACUUCUGUCAGGUACAGCAAAUUGUUGUG